rnacentral:rRNA from 1 species
GAAAGUUAGUGGCGGAUGGGUGAGUAACGCGUGGACAACCUACCUUGUAAAGGGGAAUAACCUCGAGAAAUCGAAGCUAAUACCCCAUAAUAACCUUGAAUCGCAUGAAUUGAGGAGGAAAGGCGGCCUUAGAGCUGUCGAUACAAGAUGGGUCCGCGUCUGAUUAGCUAGUUGGUGAGGUAAAGGCUCACCAAGGCGACGAUCAGUAGCCGGCCUGAGAGGGUGAACGGCCACAUUGGGACUGAGACACGGCCCAAACUCCUACGGGAGGCAGCAGUGGGGAAUCUUCCGCAAUGGGCGAAAGCCUGACGGAGCAAUGCCGCGUGAGUGAAGAAGGCCUUCGGGUUGUAAAACUCUGUCCUAGACGAAGAGAGAGUAUUGUAGUAACUGACAAUACUAGGACGUAGACUAGGAGGAGCCCCGCA